GGCCUGGGGCACGACUCUGCCGCCAGCCCUUCCUCACAUGUCGGGUCUCCCGGGCUGGGGGGCGGGAGAGGGGGCGCCCGGCGGAUGCAGGAGGUGAGGAACUCGGGUUCGGGGAGAGCGACGGGAGGAGCGAGGAGGAGCAGCGCCGCUGCACAGCCGCGGAGGGAGGCCGGUCCCCUCAACAAUCGCUAAGAAUCCUCCGGCCUAGUGAAGAAUGUCCUGCCAAAGAGUCACCCAGUUUCUGCCAAGUGUCUCAUGUUCUCUCAGAAUGGCAUUAGAGGGAACAGAAGUGCAUCUUGACCCGUGUCUGUAUUCUGUGGAAAAUGAGAAGUCAGAGCACCAGGACCGUACGGGAGCUAGGGAGAAGGCCAAUGAAUCCACGCCCGGCUGAGUCCUUCAUGUUCACGCCUUAUUCAAACUCUACAGUUUAGUUUGGUCUGGAUUGGGUAAACAUCAUUUGAAGUCAUUUGCUCUGCAGAAGUUUGAGAAAUGUGACAACUGAGUUGUGUGGUUCAUCCUUUCACAGAAGCCACAGAUGCUGUUUUUCAAAAUAAAAAUGAAAUGGAAGAU
ensembl:antisense Gm43573 predicted gene 43573